rnacentral:tmRNA from 1 species
AUUGGUCUCGACUUAGGUGAGUCGGGUAUAAGCAGCAUGCCGCGGACUUGCAAGGUUGGCCGCGUUAACAAUCCUUGCUAAAAGACAAAUGCCAACGAAAAUACGUUGACGUUUAACGGGUUGAUGGAAAGCAUGGUAGUGGUUAAUCCCGCUGCCGUGGCGCCCAUCGCGCCCGCACUCGUCCCAGUUCUCUAAUCAGAAUUGGGCCCCGAUCCAGCCUGCCUAAGGGCUGACGUUGGGACUCUAAUUUAGGCUGGCCCCGGCUGUUAGCCUUCGGAACCGGGGUGAGAGCAGUAAAAGGCUGCGGCCCGGGGAGUCCUGUCUGUCGGAAGUCCCGGGAAUAAGGCGCAGAAGACAGACUGAGCAUGGAGCGGCUUAUAUUCGUUUAUCUAAGGACGCGGGUUCGAUCAACACAGGUCGACUCCCGGA